UAGUUUAUAAAAAAUGCUGACUUGUGGCGUUAGAGAUGU
rnacentral:tRNA from 1 species